CCUACGGGGGGCAGCAGUGGGGAAUAUUGCACAAUGGGGGAAACCCUGAUGCAGCAACGCCGCGUGAGUGAAGAAGUAUUUCGGUAUGUAAAGCUCUAUCAGCAGGGAAGAAGAUGACGGUACCUGAUUAAGAAGCCCCGGCUAACUACGUGCCAGCAGCCGCGGUAAUACGUAGGGGGCAAGCGUUAUCCGGAUUUACUGGGUGUAAAGGGAGCGUAGACGGCAGUGCAAGUCUGGAGUGAAAGCCCGGGGCCCAACCCCGGAACUGCUCUGGAAACUGUGCGGCUAGAGUGCUGGAGGGGCAGGUGGAAUUCCUAGUGUAGCGGUGAAAUGCGUAGAUAUUAGGAGGAACACCAGUGGCGAAGGCGGCUUACUGGACUGUAACUGACGUUGAGGCUCGAAAGCGUGGGGAGCAAACAGGAUUAGAUACCCGAGUAGUC
rnacentral:rRNA from 1 species